UACAGAGGUCUCAAGCGUUGUUCGGAUUCAUUGGGCGUAAAGGGUGCGUAGGUGGCGCCGUAAGUCAGGUGUGAAAUCUCGGGGCUUAACCCCGAAACUGCACUUGAUACUGCGGUGCUCGAGUACUGGAGAGGAGAUUGGAAUUUACGGUGUAGCAGUGAAAUGCGUAGAUAUCGUAAGGAAGACCAGUGGCGAAGGCGGCAUCCUGGACCGGCAUUGACGCUGAGGCGCGAAAGCCAGGGGAGCAAACGGG
rnacentral:rRNA from 1 species